rnacentral:rRNA from 1 species
UACGUAGGGACCAAGCGUUGUCCGGAAUCAUUGGGCGUAAAGAGCGUGUAGGCGGCUUGUUAAGUCUUGUGUGAAAUCUCGGGGCUCAACCCCGAGCGGUCAUGAGAAGCUGGCAGGCUAGAGUGCGGGAGAGGAGAGUGGAAUUCCUGGUGUAGCGGUGAAAUGCGCAGAUAUCAGGAAGAACACCCGUGGCGAAGGCGGCUCUCUGGAACGCAACUGACGCUGAGACGCGAAAAGCGUGGGGGAGCAAAACAGG